rnacentral:rRNA from 1 species
UGGGGAAUAUUGCACAAUGGGGGAAACCCUGAUGCAGCGACGCCGCGUGAGUGAAGAAGUAUUUCGGUACGUAAAGCUCUAUCAGCAGGGAAGAAAAUGACGGUACCUGACUAAGAAGCCCCGGCUAACUACGUGCCAGCAGCCGCGGUAAUACGUAGGGGGCAAGCGUUAUCCGGAUUUACUGGGUGUAAAGGGAGCGUAGACGGCAGCGCAAGUCUGAAGUGAAAUCCCAUGGCUUAACCAUGGAACUGCUUUGGAAACUGUGCAGCUGGAGUGCAGGAGAGGUAAGCGGAAUUCCUAGUG